rnacentral:misc_RNA from 1 species
GGAAGGAUCAUUAACACGUUUCACAACGUAUCAACCAAACCGCGAACUAUGAACGUUUCUUUUAUUCAUGUUUUGGAAGGGCUGUUGGCCGGACGGACAUGGCUGUCAUGGCUAUGUUGAACAGAAGUAGUGCGCAAGCGCUACCUCUGUGUACGACCAGCCACUCCCCUUCUAUGAACAUGUCUUAUUUAACCCAAACCCAUUUGUUUAUUCAUUUAUUCUUAAAGAUACGCCCUUGUGGCGAGUCUUUAAUACAAACUUGUACAACUCUUAGCAACGGAUAUCUUGGUUUCCGCAUCGAUGACGAACGCAGCAAACUGCGAUUACUCUUGCGAAUUGCAGAGCUCAGUGAAUCAUCAAACCUUCGAACGCAUCUUGCGCCAUCCAGCUCUUCGGAGUACGGAUGUGCACGUCCCAUUCAGUUUCAUUUACAUCUCUCACAACCCAGUGUUGUGGUGCAGGCUUUGAGUGUUUCACGCUACAUUCAUUUGUAGGGUGUCACUUUAAACAUGUCGCAUUGGACCCCAUGUUAUGUGGGUGAGAAAUUCAAUUUCUCGGUGUCCAGCACUUUGGCUCGGCAUCGCAUUGAUCAAUGCUUUGCCCCCGCUUUAACUUCCGAAAGGAAGGGUGAUGGUACCCUCUGGGAAGACUCUUAACCGAGUUCUCUGAGAAAUACGAGUUUUGAGUGCCUGUAAAAAGGCAGCCAAGUCAUAAUAAGGGUGCGAAACGUUCCUCAUAAAAAAAGCAUCGUCUUUUUUUGUAAUCCGAUCUGAAUUGGGAUGAGAAGACCCACUAAAUUUAAGCAUAUUAUUCAGUGGAGGAAAAGAAACUAACAAGGAUUCCCCUAGUAACGGCGAGUGAAGCGGGAAUAGCUCAAUUUUAAAAUCCUGUGUCCACAUGGGCUCGGGAGUUGUAAUCUGAAGACGUGUGGUCAGCGUGUGACUCGGGUAUAACUCCCUUGGAAAGGGGGAUCAUAGAGGGUGAUAAUCCCGUCUUUGACUCGAAGUUCGCCGCGUACGAUACACGUUCUACGAGUCGAGUUGUUUGGGAGUACAGCUCUAAAUGGGUGGUAAACUUCAUCUAAAGCUAAAUAUUGGCGGAAGACCGAUAGCGAACAAGUAGCGUGAGCGAAAGAUGAAAAGAACUUUGAAAAGAGAGUUAAAAAGUACUUGAAAUUGCUAAGAGGUAAGUUAUGGAAACCAGUCCUUCCUGGGGCUAUACUUAGCUUUCCGUCGGAGUGAGACAUGAUUGCGGCGAGUCUUUACGGGCCGACGUUUUUGUGCCAGAUCUUCGGCGGGGGUGUCCUGUAGCUUUGGGUGUGUCAGAAUCACUUUGCUCAGUCGGAGAAAGCUAGUGGGAAGGUGGAGAGUUAUGGGGUUCGCUUCAUUUCUCUCGUUAUAGCCCAUUAGUUAUACGGCGAAGUAGAGUGAGGAAACGAUAAGGCACCCGUCCUCGUGGCGGAAUUAGCACCUAUAUCUACUCGGUCAGUGAGCUUGGACAGCAAAGCUGUGCGGUUUGCGAAGCUGGGUACUGUGUGGGGUUCGCUAUUCGUGUCCUUAGCGAUUCUGACGAAAUGGUUUUCAUUGACCCGUCUUGAAACACGGACCAAGGAGUCUAACAUAUAUGCGAGUAUUUGGGUGGCAAACCCUGAUGCGUAAUGAAAGUGAAAGCGGACUUGCGCCGCCGAGGUAGGAACUGCUCCUUCGGGGGUAGGGCACUAUCGACCGAUCGAUCACUUGUGAUAGAUUUGAGUUUGAGCAUAUCUGUUGGGACCCGAAAGAUGGUGAUCUAUGCCUGGGCAGGAUGAAGUCAGGGGAAACUCUGAUGGAAGUCCGCAGCGGUACUGACGUGCAAAUCGUUCGUCUGAUCUGGGUAUAGGGGCGAAAGACUAAUCGAACCAUCUAGUAGCUGGUUCCCUC